UACGGAGGGUGCAAGCGUUAUCCGGAUUCACUGGGUUUAAAGGGUGCGUAGGUGGGCAGGUAAGUCAGUGGUGAAAUCUCCGGGCUUAACUCGGAAACUGCCGUUGAUACUAUCUGUCUUGAAUAUCGUGGAGGUUAGCGGAAUAUGUCAUGUAGCGGUGAAAUGCUUAGAUAUGACAUAGAACACCAAUUGCGAAGGCAGCUUACUACCCGAAUAUUGACACUGAGGCACGAAAGCGUGGGGAUCAAACAGG
rnacentral:rRNA from 1 species